CAGCCGCCGCGGUAAUACAGAGGGUGCAAGCGUUAAUCGGAAUUACUGGGCGUAAAGCGCGCGUAGGUGGUUUGUUAAGUUGGAUGUGAAAGCCCCGGGCUCAACCUGGGAACUGCAUCCAAAACUGGCAAGCUAGAGUACGGUAGAGGGUGGUGGAAUUUCCUGUGUAGCGGUGAAAUGCGUAGAUAUAGGAAGGAACACCAGUGGCGAAGGAGACCACCUGGACUGAUACUGACACUGAGGUGCGAAAGCGUGGGGAGCAAACAGGAUUAGAUACCCCUGUAGUCCCUGUCUCUUAUAC
rnacentral:rRNA from 1 species